UCUGGUUUUUUAGGGCACACGGUGGAUGCCUUGGCAUGCUGAGCCGAUGAAGGACGUGGGAGGCUGCGUUAAGCCUCGGGGAGUUGUCAACCGAGCGUUGAUCCGAGGAUGUCCGAAUGGGGAAACCCGGCCAUGGUUAUGUGUGGUCACCUGCAACUGAAGACUUGUGUAUAGGUUGUGUGGAGGUAACGCGGGGAAGUGAAACAUCUCAGUACCCGUAGGAGAAGAAAACAAGAGUGAUUCCGCUAGUAGUGGCGAGCGAACGUGGAUUUUUGGCUAAACCGUGAUUGUGUGUGAUACCCGGCAGGGGUUGCAUGAUCCGGGGUUGUGGGGUUUAUAACGUCUGUUAUCUGCCGGUGACGGGUCUGUUGUUGGUGCUGUUAGUGGAAGUGGUGUGGAAACGCCUGCCGUAGAGGGUGAGAGUCCCGUACAUGAAAGCAGUUGCCUGAUGGAUGGUUAUUUGUCCCCGAGUAGCAGCGGGCUCGUGGAAUCUGCUGUGAAUCUGCCGGGACCACCCGGUAAGCCUGAAUACUCAGUGUGACCGAUAGCGGAUUGAGUACCGUGAGGGAAUGGUGAAAAGUACCCCGGGAGGGGAGUGAAAGAGUACCUGAAACCGUGUGUCUACAAUCCGUCAGAGCCCUUUUGGGGUGAUGGCGUGCCUUUUGAAGAAUGAGCCUGCGAGUCAGCGGCAUGUCGCGAGGUUAACCCGGUUUGUGGGGUAGUCGUAGCGAAAGCGAAUACUAACGAGUGUGUUGUAGUGGCAUGUCCUGGACCCGAAGCGGAGUGAUCUACCCAUGGCCAGUGUGAAGCAGCGGUAAGACGCUGUGGAGGCGCGAACCCACUUAGGUUGAAAACUGAGGGGAUGAGUUGUGGGUAGGGGUGAAAGGCCAAUCAAACUUCGUGAUAGCUGGUUCUCCCCGAAAUGCAUUUAGGUGCAGCGCUACGCGUGUUUGCCGGAGGUAGAGCUACUGGUUGGUUUAGCGGGACUAUCAUCUUAGCGACAUCAGCUAAACUCCGAAUGCCGGUGAAACGGUUCGUGUAGUAGUGAGACUGCGGGGGAUAAGCUUCGUAGUCGAGAGGGAAACAGCCCAGAUCGCCGGUUAAGGCCCCUAAGAGUGUGCUAAGUGGAAAAGGAUGUGGGAUCGCCCAGACAGCCAGGAGGUUGGCUUAGAAGCAGCCAUCCUUGAAAGAGUGCGUAAUAGCUCACUGGUCGAGUGGUUCCGCGCCGACAAUGUAGUGGGGCUCAAGCACACCGCCGAAACCGCGGCAGCAGCAUCUUAUGUAGGGUGUUGUUGGGUAGGGGAGCGUCGUAUGCUGCGUUGAAGCUGCCGGGUGACCGUGUGGUGGAGUGUAUACGAGUGAGAAUGCAGGCAUGAGUAGCGAAUGACGGGUGGAAAACCCGUCCGCCGGAUGAUCAAGGGUUCCUGGGUGAAGCUUUAAUCUUCCCAGGGUGAGUCGGGACCUAAGGCGAGGCCGACAGGCGUAGUCGAUGGAUAACGGGUUGAUAUUCCCGUACCCGUGUGUAUGCGAAAAGUGGUGACGCGAUGAUACUAACUGCCCGUCGCAUCCUUCACGUCAGUCUUUUUAGGCUGGUGGUUGUGGUGUGUUCGCGUAGGACCUGAGUUGUUGGUAGCCAAGUGAUGGGGUGACGCAGAGUGGUAGCCGAGCCAACGGUUGGAAGUGUUGGUGUAAGCGUGCAGCCCGUGGGAUAGGGAAAUCCGUUCCACAUUAUAUGGGUGAGGCGUGAUGCAGACCCACAUGUUGUGGGGGAGUCGGUGUGCCUGUGCUGUCGAGAAAAGCCUCUAGCGAGUGUAUGCAUGGCCCGUACCCCAAACCGACACAGGUGAUCAGGUAGAAGAUACUAAGGCGAUCGAGAGAACUGUGGUUAAGGAACUCGGCAAAAUGCCCCCGUAACUUCGGGAGAAGGGGGGCCGCUACGGGUGCCACUGCCUUGCGUGGUGGUUGCGUGUGGUGGCCGCAGAGAAUAGAGGGAAGCGACUGUUUACUAAAAACACAGGUCCGUGCGAAGACGAUAAGUCGAUGUAUACGGACUGACGCCUGCCCGGUGCUGGAAGGUUAAGAGGACCUGUUAGAUCUGUUUGGGUCGAAGCGGAGAAUUUAAGCCCCAGUAAACGGCGGUGGUAACUAUAACCAUCCUAAGGUAGCGAAAUUCCUUGUCGGGUAAGUUCCGACCUGCACGAAUGGCGUAACGACUUCCCUGCUGUCUCAACCACAGACUCGGCGAAAUUGCAGUACGAGUAAAGAUGCUCGUUACGCGCGGCAGGACGAAAAGACCCCGGGACCUUUACUAUAGCUUGGUAUUGGUGCUUGCUACGGUUUGUGUAGGAUAGGUGGGAGAUGUUGAUCGCAUGACGCUAGUUGUGUGGGAGUCGUAAUGUGAAAUACCACUCUGAUCGUAGUGGGUAUCUAACUUCGGCCCGUGAUCCGGGUCAGGGACAGUGCCUGGUGGGUAGUUUAACUGGGGCGGUUGCCUCCUAAAGAGUAACGGAGGCGCCCAAAGGUUUCCUCAGCCUGGUCUGUAAUCAGGUGGUGAGUGUAAGUGCACAAGGGAGCUUGACUGUGAGACUGACAGGUCGAGCAGGUACGAAAGUAGGGACUAGUGAUCCGGCACCGGCUUGUGGAAGCGGUGUCGCUCAACGGAUAAAAGGUACCCCGGGGAUAACAGGCUGAUCUUCCCCAAGAGUCCAUAUCGACGGGAUGGUUUGGCACCUCGAUGUCGGCUCGUCGCAUCCUGGGGCUGGAGUAGGUCCCAAGGGUUGGGCUGUUCGCCCAUUAAAGCGGCACGCGAGCUGGGUUUAGAACGUCGUGAGACAGUUCGGUCUCUAUCCGCCGCGCGCGUUGAAACGUGAGGAAGGCUGUCCCUAGUACGAGAGGACCGGGACGGACGUACCUCUGGUGUGCCAGUUGUUUCGCCAGGAGCAUUGCUGGUUGGCUACGUACGGGAGGGAUAACCGCUGAAAGCAUCUAAGCGGGAAGCCUGUUUCGAGAUAACGUUUCGUUUGAGGUGUCCGGGAGAUGACCGGGUUGAUAGGCCAGGGUUGUAAGCGCUGUGAGGUGUUGAGAUGACUGGUACUAAUUCACCGAUACCAAACACAA
rnacentral:rRNA from 1 species